AACCUAGUAGGUUAACUGGUAGAGUUCCUGAUAUGUAAUUAUAGAGGUCUGGGUUCGAUUCCCGGCUUAGUUU
rnacentral:tRNA from 1 species